rnacentral:rRNA from 1 species
UACGUAGGGUGCGAGCGUUAAUCGGAAUUACUGGGCGUAAAGCGUGCGCAGGCGGUUCUCCAAGUCCGUUGUGAAAGCCCCGGGCUCAACCUGGGAAUGGCGAUGGUGACUGCAAGGCUAGAGUUUGGCAGAGGGGGGUAGAAUUCCACGUGUAGCAGUGAAAUGCGUAGAUAUGUGGAGGAACACCGAUGGCGAAGGCAGCCCCCUGGGUCAAAACUGACGCUCAUGCACGAAAGCGUGGGGAGCAAACAGG